GAAGCAUUGCCCCUCACAAAACUGUUGUAUGGCAGACCCCAACCCAACCAUGUUACAAUUUCCUCUAUUCUGUCCCCACUUUCUAAUUUAUAAGCGUCACACCCCCUUCCCAAACCCUCCUUAAGUCCAUCUUCUUAAUCUUCAAUUCUUUUCCUCUUUCUCAUCACCUCUAUUGUCAUCUUCUACUCCAUACACAAUGUGCUCCUCUAAAUCAAGGCCGCACCAAGGUUCUAACAUUUCUGCAACUAUUGCUAAAAUUAAUGGCCGCCCUGUUCUUCAGCCAAAAUCCAACCAAGUUCUUAGCUUGGAGAGACGCAAUUCACUUAAAAAGAAUUCCCCAAAAUCUCCUACUCUGGAACCACUGCCAACUCCUAAGCCUUCUUUGUCCCCUCCAUUCUCUCCCAAGCUGAAAUCGCCUAGACCACUGGCGCUUAAGAGAGGAGGGAAUGACCCUAAUGGCUUGAAUUUCAGCGGGGAGAAGUUUUUGACGCCAAGAAAUACAACCAAAGUGUCAAGUAUAGUGAACAAGUCCAAGAAAUCCAUCACUUCUGCACCUCCUCUUCAAUCCACUGUCAUCAAGUAUUCUUCUACUUUGCUUGUUGAUUCUCCCGGCAGCAUAGCAGCUGCAAGGAGGGAGCAAGUUGCUAUUAUGCAACAACAAAGGAAACUGCGAAUUGCUCAUUAUGGAAGAGUGACGUCUUCUAAGCAAGAAGGCAAGGUUGCGCCUAUUGAUUCAACAACUACUAAUGCUACUAUUGCUCGAGAAGAAAGGAGAUGUACCUUUAUCACUCCAAGUUCAGAUCCUAUCUAUGUGGCUUACCAUGAUGAAGAAUGGGGAGUUCCUGUUCAUGAUGAUAAGCAGUUGUUUGAAUUGCUAGUGCUUACAGGAGCACAAGUAGGAUCAGAUUGGACUUCAGUCUUGAAGAAACGGCAAGCACUCAGGUAGGUGAAAGAGAACAAUUCUCAUAGAAAUUUAUGUGGGUUUGCCCUCUUUGAUUAACACAUCAUAACUGGUUUUGGAAAAUAUUAAUUAAUUAAUUAAUUACUCAACUUACAGGGAGGCCUUUUCUGGGUUUGAUGCAGAAGUUGUUGCCAAAUUCAGUGAAAAGAAAAUAAUCUCUGUCAGUGCCGAGUAUGGCAUAAACAUAAGCCAAGUUCGAGGGGUUUUGGAUAACUCUGAUAGAAUUCUCCAGAUUAAGAAAGAAUUCGGAUCAUUUGACAAGUACUUGUGGAGAUUUGUGAAUCACAAGGCAAUCACAACCCAAUACAAGUCAUGCAACAAGAUCCCUGUGAAGACCUCAAGAUCAGAAACUAUAAGCAAAGAUAUGGUAAAGAGAGGAUUUAGAUUUGUUGGUCCAACUGUAAUCCAUUCAUUCAUGCAAGCUGCUGGCCUCAGUAAUGACCACUUGAUCACUUGUCCAAGAUACCUUCAAAUUCAAUCCCUUGAAUUGGCAUCUCAUCACCACCACCAUCGCAGUCCAACUUCAUAGAAUCAU
rnacentral:misc_RNA from 1 species